rnacentral:rRNA from 1 species
GUCGUGCGUCUCCAAGCAAUGGUGGAGACGCGGCGUACGGCUCAGUAACACGUGGCUAACCUACCCUUAGGACGGGGAUAACCCCGGGAAACUGGGGCUAAUACCCGAUAGGUGAGGAGAUCUGGAAUGACUCUUCACCGAAAGGGUGUGGAGACCAUGCUUCUCCACAUCGCCUAAGGAUGGGGCCGCGGCCGAUCAGGUUGUUGGUGGGGUAACGGCCCACCAAGCCUAUAACCGGUACGGGCCGUGAGAGCGGGAGCCCGGAGAUGGGCACUGAGACAAGGGCCCAGGCCCUACGGGGCGCAGCAGUUGCGAAAACUCCGCAAUGCGCGAAAGCGCGACGGGGCUACCCCGAGUGCCGUCCGCUUAGGGCGGCUUUUCUCUGGUGUAAUGAGCCAGAGGAAU